rnacentral:rRNA from 1 species
CGUGCCAGCAGCCGCGGUAAUACGAGGGAUGCAAGCGUUAUCCGGAAUUAUUGGGCGUAAAGCGUCCGCAGGUGGCUCUGUAAGUCUGUCGUUAAAGAAUGGGGCUCAACCCCAUACAGGCGAUGGAAACUACAAGGCUAGAGUUUGGUAGGGGUCACGGGAAUUCUUAGUGUAGCGGUGAAAUGCGUAGAUAUUAAGAAGAACACCAGCGGCGAAAGCGCGUGACUGGGCCAGUACUGACACUCAUGGACGAAAGCUAGGGGAGCGAAAGGGAUUAGAUACCCCUAUAGUCCUAGCCGUAAACGAUGAUAACUAGGUGUUGCCCGUAUCGACCCGGGCAGUGCCGUAGCCAACGCGUUAAGUUAUCCGCCUGGGGAGUACGCACGCAAGUGUGAAACUCAAAGGAAUUGACGGGGGCCCGCACAAGCGGUGGAGUAUGUGGUUUAAUUCGAUGCAACGCGAAGAACCUUACCAAGGCUUGACAUGUCGCGAAUUCCCUUGAAAGGGGGAAGUGCCUUCGGGAGCGCGAACACAGGUGGUGCAUGGCUGUCUUCAGCUCGUGUCGUGAGAUGUUGGGUUA